rnacentral:rRNA from 1 species
AGCGAACGCUGGCGGCAGGCUUAACACAUGCAAGUCGAGCGCCCCGCACGGGGAGCGGCAGACGGGUGAGUAACACGUGGGAACGUACCUUUUGGUUCGGAACAACUGAGGGAAACUUCAGCUAAUACCGGAUAAGCCCUUACGGGGAAAGAUUUAUCGCCGAAAGAUCGGCCCGCGUCUGAUUAGCUAGUUGGUGAGGUAAUGGCUCACCAAGGCGACGAUCAGUAGCUGGUCUGAGAGGAUGAUCAGCCACACUGUGACUGAGACACGGCCCAGACUCCUACGGGAGGCAGCAGUGGGGAAUAUUGGACAAUGGGGGCAACCCUGAUCCAGCCAUGCCGCGUGAGUGAUGAAGGCCCUAGGGUUGUAAAGCUCUUUUAACGGGGAAGAUAAUGACGGUACCCGUAGAAUAAGCCCCGGCUAACUUCGUGCCAGCCGCCGCGGUAAAAC